AGAGUUUGAUCCUGGCUCAGAAUCAACGCUGGCGGCGUGCCUCAGACAUGCAAGUCGAACGAUUAAAGCUCUCUUCGGAGAGUGCAUAAAGUGGCGCACGGGUGAGUAACACGUAAGUAAUCUACCCUCGAGUGGGGAAUAACGUCCGGAAACGGACGCUAAUACCGCAUAAUGCAGCGGCACCGCAAGGUGACAGUUGUUAAAGAUUUAUCGCUUGAGGAGGAGCUUGCGGCAGAUUAGCUAGUUGGUAAGGUAAUGGCUUACCAAGGCAACGAUCUGUAUCCGGUCUAAGAGGACGGUCGGACACACUGACACUGAAUAACGGGUCAGACUCCUACGGGAGGCAGCAGUCGGGAAUUUUGGGCAAUGGGGGAAACCCUGACCCAGCAACGCCGCGUGAAGGAUGAAGUAUUUCGGUAUGUAAACUUCGAAAGAAUGGGAAGAAUCAAUGACGGUACCAUUUAUAAGGUCCGGCUAACUACGUGCCAGCAGCCGCGGUAAUACGUAGGGACCAAGCGUUGUUCGGAUUUACUGGGCGUAAAGGGCGCGUAGGCGGCGUGACAAGUCACUUGUGAAAUCUCUGGGCUUAACCCAGAACGGCCAAGUGAAACUGUCGUGCUAGAGUGCGGAAGGGGCAAUCGGAAUUCUCGGUGUAGCGGUGAAAUGCGUAGAUAUCGAGAGGAACACCUGAGGUGAAGACGGGUUGCUGGGCCGACACUGACGCUGAGUGCGCGAAACCAGGGGAGCAAACGGGAUUAGAUACCCUAGUAGUCC
rnacentral:rRNA from 1 species